GAGCGCAACCCUCAUCUUGUGUUACAUUUCACAAGAAACUGCCCCGGUUAACGGGGAGGAAGGUGGGGAUGACGUCAAAUCAGCAUGGCUCUUACGCCCUGGGCCACACACGUGCUACAAUGGCUAUUACAAUGGGUCGCGAAGUCGCGAGACGGAGCUAAUCCUAUCAAAAGUAGCCCUAGUUCGGAUUGAAGGCUGCAACUCGCCUUCAUGAAGCUGGAAUCGCUAGUAACCGCCGGUCAGCUAAACGGCGGUGAAUACGUUCUCGGGUUUUGUACACACCGCCCGUCACGCCAAGAGAGUCGGUAAUACCUGAAGUGGCUCGUUCGAGCAUCUAGGGUAGGAUCGAUGAUAGGGGCGAAGUCGUAACAAGGCACCGGUAGCGGAAGCUGUCGGUGGAUCACCUCCUUU
rnacentral:rRNA from 1 species